ACCUGCCCAUUGGAAUCUAAAAGGCCGCGGUAUUAUGACCGUGCUAAGGUAGCAUAAUCAUUAGUCUUUUAAUUGGAGGCUGGUAUGAAUGGUUGGACAAGAAAUAAGCUGUCUUAAAUAAAAAUAUUGAAUUUAACUUUUAAGUGAAAAGGCUUAAAUUUUCUAAGGGGACGAUAAGACCCUAUAAAACUUUAUAUUUUAAAAUAAUAAUUAAUUUUUAUAUAGAAGAUUUAUUUUUAAAUAUUUUAUUGGGGUGAUAAAGAUAAAAUGUGAAAUAACUGUCUUUUUUUUUUUACAAUUAAUAUUUGAGUAAAAGAUCUUAACAAAGGAAAUAAGAGAUUAAGUUACUUUAGGGAUAACAGCGUAAUUUUCUUUAAGAGUUCUUAUCGACAAGAAAGUUUGCGACCUCGAUGUUGAAUUAAAAGUUCUUUAUAGAGUAGAUAUUAUAAUAGAGGGUCUGUUCGACCCUUAAAAUUUUACGUG
rnacentral:rRNA from 1 species